AGUGAACGCUGGCGGCGUGCUUAACACAUGCAAGUCGUACGAGAAAGCUUCUGCUUGCAGAGGCGAGUAAAGUGGCGCACGGGUGAGUAACGCGUGGGUAAUCUACCCUCGAAUUGGGGAUAGCAUUGCGAAAGCGAUGCUAAUACCGGAUAAUAUCCAAUGAUUUUUGGAUUGUUGGAUCAAAGAUGGCCUCUUCUUGAAAGCUAUUGUUUGAGGAUGAGCCCGCGUCCCAUUAGCUUGUUGGUAGGGUAAUGGCCUACCAAGGCAACGAUGGGUAGCUGGUCUGAGAGGAUGAUCAGCCACACUGGAUCUGACACACGGUCCAGACUCCUACGGGAGGCAGCAGUGAGGAAUUUUGCGCAAUGGGGGAAACCCUGACGCAGCAACGCCGCGUGAGUGAUGAAGGCUUUCGGGUCGUAAGGCUCUGUCAAGUGGGAAGAAACUGCAUUUGGCCAAUAUCCAUUUGCACUGACGGUACCACUAAAGGAAGCACCGGCUAACUCCGUGCCAGCAGCCGCGGUAACACGGGGGGUGCAAGCGUUACUCGGAAUCAUUGGGCGUAAAGGGCGCGCAGGCGGCCUGGUUAGUCAGAUGUGAAAGCCCGGGGCUCAACCCCGGAAGUACAUUUGAUACUGC
rnacentral:rRNA from 1 species